rnacentral:rRNA from 1 species
UACGUAGGGUGCGAGCGUUAAUCGGAAUUACUGGGCGUAAAGUGUGCGCAGGCGGCCGCGCAAGUCGAGUGUGAAAGCCCCGGGCUUAACUUGGGAAUUGCGCUCGAAACUACGUGGCUAGAGUGUGGCAGAGGGGGGUGGAAUGCCGCGUGUAGCAGUGAAAUGCGUAGAGAUGCGGCGGAACACCGAUGGCGAAGGCAGCCCCCUGGGCUGAGAUUGACGCUCAGGCACGAAAGCGUGGGGAGCAAACAGG